rnacentral:rRNA from 1 species
CCAAUAGCGUAUAUUAAAGUUGUUGCAGUUAAAAAGCUCGUAGUUGAAUUUCGGGAUCAAAUUGUCGGUCGUGCCUCGGUACGCACUGGUAUUAUUGGUUCCUACCUUCUGAAGAACCGCGAUGUCAUUAAUUUGGUGUCGUGGGGAAUCAGGACUGUUACUUUGAAAAAAUUAGAGUGUUUAAAGCAGGCUUACGCUUGAAUACAUUAGCAUGGAAUAAUGAAAUAGGACGUUUGAUUCUAUUUUGUUGGUUUCCAGGAUUGACGUAAUGAUUAAUAGGGAUAGUUGGGGGCAUUAGUAUUCAAUUGUCAGAGGUGAAAUUCUUGGAUUUAUUGAAGACUAACUACUGCGAAAGCAUUUGCCAAGGAUGUUUUCAUUAAUCAAGAACGAAAGUUAGGGGAUCGAAGACGAUCAGAUACCGUCGUAGUCUUAACCAUAAACUAUGCCGACUAGGGAUCGGAUGAUGUUAAUUUUUUAAUGACUCAUUCGGCGCCUUACG